rnacentral:rRNA from 1 species
UACAGAGGCGGCAAGCGUUGUUCGGAUUUACUGGGCGUAAAGGGUGCGUAGGUGGUGCGAUGUGUCGGGCGUGAAAUCCCACGGCUCAACUGUGGAACUGCGUCCGAAACUGUCGCGCUAGAGUGCAGAAGAGGAGAGCGGAAUUCUUGGUGUAGCGGUGAAAUGCGUUGAUAUCAAGAAGAACGCCGGUGGCGUAGGCGGCUCUCUGGGAUGCAACUGACACUGAGGCACGAAAGCUGGGGGAG